rnacentral:rRNA from 2 species
UGGGGAAUAUUGCACAAUGGGCGAAAGCCUGAUGCAGCAACGCCGCGUGCGGGAUGACGGCCUUCGGGUUGUAAACCGCUUUCAGCUCCGACGAAGCGCAAGUGACGGUAGGAGCAGAAGAAGGACCGGCCAACUACGUGCCAGCAGCCGCGGUGAUACGUAGGGUCCGAGCGUUGUCCGGAAUUAUUGGGCGUAAAGGGCUUGUAGGCGGUUUGUCGCGUCGGAAGUGAAAACUCAGGGCUUAACCCUGAGCGUGCUUUUGAUACGGGCAAACUAGAGGGAUGUAGGGGAGAACGGAAUUCCUGGUGGAGCGGUGGAAUGCGCAGAUAUCAGGAGGAACACCGGUGGCGAAGGCGGUUCUCUGGGCAUUUCCUGACGCUGAGAAGCGAAAGCGUGGGGAGCAAACAGG